rnacentral:rRNA from 1 species
UUUCCGUAGGUGAACCUGCGGAAGGAUCAUUAUUGAACAAACCGGUGUCGGCUGAGCUGGCCUCUUUGGAGGCAUGUGCACGGCCCACCAUUGUUUCAUCCUUCUCUUCCACCUGUGCACUUCUGUGGGCCCACUCCAGCGCACCUUGUGCGCUGGAAUCUGGCGCCUACGUUUUACUACCCACACCAUUGAAUGUUAAGAACGCAUGAAUAGGGCAUUUGCCCAUAAAACCUUAUACAACUUUCAACAACGGAUCUCUUGGCUCUCGCAUCGAUGAAGAACGCAGCGAAAUGCGAUAAGUAAUGUGAAUUGCAGAAUUCAGUGAAUCAUCGAAUCUUUGAACGCACCUUGCGCUCCUUGGCAUUCCGAGGAGCAUGCCUGUUUGAGUGUCAUUAAAUCAUCAACCACCUCAUCUUUGAGAGGGUUGGACUUGGAGGUUCUGCUGGCCCCGCUCUCUGGGACCGGCUCCUCUGAAAUGCAUUAGCAGGGGCUCAUCUUGGCGAUCUGCAGCCUAGUGUGAUAGUCAUAUCUACACUUGGAGAGGUCCCCAUUCACCCAGCUUCCAGCCGUCCGCUUGCGUGGACAACACUUGACCACUUGACCUCAAAUCAGGUAGGACUACCCGCUGAACUUAAGCAUA